GAUGAACGCUGGCGGCGUGCCUAAUACAUGCAAGUCGAGCGAAGCGGGGACGGGUGAGUAACACGUGGAUAACCUCCUAUAAGACUGGGAUAACUUAGGGAAACCGGAGCUAAACCGGAUACGUAUAGAUGGCACUGCGCUGCAUUAGCUAGUUGGUAAGGUAACGGCUUACCAAGGCAACGAUGCAUAGCCGACCUGAGAGGGUGCUCGGCCACACGGGAACUGGGACACGGUCCCGACUCCUACGGUAGGCAGCAGUAGGGAAUCGUCCGCAAUGGGCGAAAGCCUGACGGAGCAACGCCGCGUGAUGGAUGAAGGUCUUCGGAUCGUAAAACUCUGUUAUUAGGGAAGCGGUACCUAAUCAGAAAGGCACGGCUGACUACGUGCCAGCAGCCGCGGUAAUAC
rnacentral:rRNA from 1 species